UACAGAGGUCCCAAGCGUUGUUCGGAUUCACUGGGCGUAAAGGGUGCGCAGGUGGGUUGGCAAGUUUGAUGUGAAAGCCCCGGGCUUAACCCGGGAAUGGCAUUGAAUACUGCUGAUCUGGAGGAUUGGAGGGGGGACUGGAAUUCUUGGUGUAGCGGUGAAAUGCGUAGAUAUCAGGAGGAACACCUGCGGUGUAGACGGCUUUCUGGACCAUCACUGACGCUGAGACACGAAAGCGUGGGUAGCAAACAGG
rnacentral:rRNA from 1 species